GACGAACCACACAAACGUUAUUCGGAAUUACUGGGCUUAAAGGGUGCGUAGGCGGGUAAGUAAGUCCGUGGUGAAAUCUCUGAGCUUAACUCAGAAACUGCCGUGGAUACUAUUUGCCUUGAAUACUGUGGAGGUGAGCGGAAUAUGUCAUGUAGCGGUGAAAUGCUUAGAUAUGACAUAGAACACCAAUUGCGAAGGCAGCUCACUACACAAUCAUUGACGCUGAGGCACGAAAGCGUGGGGAUCAAACAGG
rnacentral:rRNA from 1 species